rnacentral:lncRNA from 1 species
CUAUUAACUUUGUCUCAAAUUUUUUAUGUAGCUUGAUCUUCAAGUCCUUCAAGUCCAUGCCAAUUUUCACCUUAAUCCAACUAAUAGAUCUUCAAAUAUCAUAGAAACCCUAUCUAAUCUCAAACUGCUAUCUUCCAAAAUCCUCUUGUGCUAAAAACUAGAUAUCUCAAAACCACAUUGUUAGAUUAUCACACAAUUUUAUAUACUAUUAGCACACCCAAUAGUUCAAAUAAUAUCAAAUUUUCAAUUAUAGAUGUUACACCAAUUGCACGAAUUAGCCAAAAUUACUAGUCUUAGUUAUAUUAUUUAAAAUCCAAAUCACUGAUACAAACCCUAACUUUGAACAACAAUUGCUAAGUC